AUUGAACGCUGGCGGCAUGCCUUACACAUGCAAGUCGAACGGUAGAGUAGCAAUACUUGAGAGUGGCGAACGGGUGAGUAAUAUAUCGGAACGUGCCCAGUCGUGGGGGAUAACGUAGAGAAAUUUACGCUAAUACCGCAUACGAUCUAAGGAUGAAAGCGGGGGGAUUCGCAAGAACCUCGCGCGAUUGGAGCGGCUGAUAUCAGAUUAGGUUGUUGGUGAGGUAAAAGCUCACCAAGCCGACGAUCUGUAGCUGGUUUGAGAGAACGACCAGCCACACUGGGACUGAGACACGGCCCAGACUCCUACGGGAGGCAGCAGUGGGGAAUUUUGGACAAUGGGCGAAAGCCUGAUCCAGCAAUGCCGCGUGCAGGAAGAAAGGCCCUCGGGUUGUAAACUAGCUUGUUACGGUAACGAAACGGGUAACGGUA
rnacentral:rRNA from 1 species